UAACUCUGGUGUCUCCUCAUUUGCGGAUAAAUCUUUCGCCUUUUACUGGAGAUUUCUGUGGGGAGGCUUAAUACCAUGAGUCUUAUCUCAUUUUUUCCAACUCCGUCUUUGCACGGAUU
rnacentral:snRNA from 1 species